ACGGGGUGCAGCAGGCGAGNAAAACUUUGCAAUGUGCGAAAGCACGACAAGGUUAAUCCGAGUGUUUUCUGCUAAAGAAAUCUUUUGUUAGUUCUAAAACCACCAUCGAAUAAGGGGUGGGCAAGUUCUGGUGUCAGCCGCCGCGGUAAAACCAGCACCUCAAGUGGUCAGGAUGAUUAUUGGGCCUAAAGCAUCCGUAGCCGGCUAUGCUAGUUUUCGGUUAAAUCCAUGUGCUCAACACAUGGGCUGUCGAAAAUACUGCAUAGCUAGGGAGUGGGAGAGGUAGACGGUACUCGGUAGGAAGGGGUAAAAUCCUUUGAUCUAUCGAUGACCACCAGUGGCGAAGGCGGUCUACCAGAACACGUCCGACGGUGCGGGAUGAAAGCUGGGGGAGCAAACCGGAUUAGAUACCCGGGUAGUCCCAGCUGUAAACUAUGCAAACUCAGUGAUGCAUUGGCUUGUGGCCAGUGCAGUGCCGCAGAGAAGUCGUUAAGUUUGCCGCCUGGGAAGUACGUACGCAAGUAUGAAACUUAAAGGAAUUGGCGGGGGAGCAC
rnacentral:rRNA from 1 species